CCACCAGCGUCGUCACAUGAAAAAUAUUAAGGUUAAUUAAUUAUUGUGUUGCAGGAUUAAUUACGCUUUAGACGGGAUCUGGAGAAUCCUAACUUUUAUUCAUUUGGUUAAAAUAUUUAAAAAUGACUUUAUUCUAAAUUUUUCUUUCAAAACUGAGACACCCACCAUAAUUACAAUUGCCUUCGACUCUUAAUGGAAUUCGCCAAUAUUUUUCAUUAAACCACUAUCAAUAUUAUCACCAUUUUAAUUCUUUGUUAUUGUUUACAAUAUGCUGUGCAUGGAGAAGAUUUCACGGCAAUUGAAUUGGUCAACCGGUUUACUAAAGCGGACGCCAGUGGCGCCGCGUGUCGAAUUAUUACGAUUUGGCCCGUAAUUGUACUUUCCACUAGGCACUCUAUGGUUUGCUUAUUAGUGACCUAUGUAUGGGUUUUGGUUGGGCCCAUAGCGGCUAAACCCAUAAAGUAACGAGUGAAGUUCCUCAAUCUCCGGUCUUGCGCCCAGACGUCUUUUGGACUACUACUUAAGCAGUUCCGCGACGCAUCUGGGGGUCUUUCCAGCUCCUGCAUCCGUCAAGAGUGAACCGUGCUGCCCGCUGUGACGGAGAGAGGUUUGAAAUAAAUCUAUUAUCAUCUCUCUCCGCCAGCACCUUUUUUGUUAAAAUAACAUCUAAAACUAAAAUGCAUUAGUGUUUCUUCAGUUUCAACGAAAUAUUUUUGAAGCAGGAUGGGUUUUAGUAGUUUGAUGCCUCUCGAAACUUCGGCUCCUUAAAUAUGACAGUGUAAACCGCCAGCCGUGACCCAGCGGUGAUGAGGAUUUCGCCCUGAAGCCUGAAAAAUAAUUUCGCCGCCCUUAGCCCCGUCAACACACAUCAUGCCGUAAGCCCUAUGUGGUGAAAAAUUGCCCAUCGCGGGCUCUCGCCCCCGAAAGAAGAACACCAUGGAACUUGACCCGUAAGCACAUUCUUUUAAUCUUAACCAUAUUCUUCUUUUGAUUUUUUUUGUAUGAUUUAACAUGAAUUUAUUAUCACUUUCUCAUUUUAAUAUUUAAAACAUAAGUAACUAUAUUUAUGGUAUAAUUAUCUAAAUUAAAACAAUUCAAUGUUACGCCUUAUUAUGUAAUGCUUCCGAAGUGAUCACUGACGAAUUCAGGUAUCUACCUUUGGGUUAUAAACUUGUAUAUAUAUAUAUAUCUUUUAUUUAUUUUUGUUUACCUUUUUAAGACCAUCUUGUAUAUUUACUUAUAUUUACUUACCAUGUAGAUUUAACUCCUUGUUUCUGAUAAAUUAAGCUAUUGAGUAUGAAGACUUUAAUAAACACCCUAUUUAAAUUAAAUUAAGGUGUUUUACUACUGAGUGAGUGAGUGUGACUGAGGCAACUGACCAUACAGAGAACCCACGAAGCCGGCCUGAUAGGUUCUUUUUUUUUUGUUUUGUUCCAUCUUUUAAAUUUAACAGGGUUUCUGGAACCUAUCAGAUCUAGGGAGUUGUUCUUGUUGUUUAGAACUCUUAAACCAAGACUGUCGAACAAACUCAACUCCCUAGAAAUAGCCCCUGUAAACCGGAUAGUCUUGCCGGGAUAAUAUUUAUAACAUAACAAGAUGGCGCCCAAAUUUUAAAAAGUUUUCUGGUCAAAAGUUGUCAUUGGUCAUCCUCGCUUAUCUUGGGGUAAGACACUUUUAAUAAAACAAAAAUUUAAAUUUAUUUCAGCAAUUUUAAUAUAUAUAUAUAGAUAUAAUUUUUUUGUACAUUGGGUAUUGUUGCAUCUUCUCUAGGGUUGUUUUAAAAUUCUCAUAGCUAGGUAUAUGAUGAUAAUUGGGGGUGAAGUUUCAUGGAAUUGUGAUAAAUUCUUUUGGGUGUGAUGAUUUUUUAAAGGUUAAGAUAACUAAGUUUCUGAUACUUUUUUUUAUUUUCUAAUGUAUUGUAAAUUUUGAAUUUGGCGGUGGCUAAUGUUCAUGGCAAGUUAUGUAACAGUAUUUUAUUUUAAAUAUCGACAUUUCAGUGCAUAACAUACAGGUGGUGUAAUGCAACAUUUCAUUUUUUUUUGUUAAAUAUUCACAUAUUUUAUAAUUCAUUUUUCUAAAUUUAUGACUGACAUAUUUUUUUUCUCCAUUCUUUAUCUCCGGCUGAUAGCAUGAAUUGUCUUAACUUUCAGGGGGGUGAUUUAGUAGAUAGUGAUGGUGAUAUUGUGAUUAUUGUGACUUGGGUAUAUGAGCAUGGACAGUAUAGAGAUAAAAUAUGUAGGGACUAUAACAUUGAAUAGCAUUCCUUACUAUAUAUAGCUUUCCUGUUAUUGACAAUAAUUAGUUUUUUUUUGGUAUCUUACAAGAAAUAAUUUUGAGAAUUUUUCUAUAAACCUUGAUAAUUUAAUUUUAGGCAGGAAUAUGACUUAUUAGUGGUUUUCAUAUACAAGUACAUACUUAUUAAUAAGGGUUGUUUUAAAUAUUUUUUUUAAAUAGGAUUUUGUUUUACUGAUAGGAAGGUCAGGGUCAACUUUUAUUGUUUAAUCAAUUUAAUAAAUCUUCAUUGAAUUUUGUUGGUAUACAGGGUGGACUUUAAUCCCUGAAUUUUUUUUUUUAAAUUAAUUUAAUUUUAUUAUAGAAUUAUACAGGGUGGUGUACACAAGUAGUAUAAAAGAUACUUGAAGUAAAUUUUUUUUUUCUUAUUUUGGUACUACAGGGUGAAACAAUUAGUGGUUCCAAGUAACUUGUCUUAUAUUAUAGGGAGUUUUUUUUUUCUUUUCCUUUUGCUUUCCAUAUACUUUUUUUUUAAUUUUAUAUACUAGAUGCUUAAAAAAAAAAAAAAAAAAAAAAA